CCUACGUGCGGCAGCAGUGGGGAAUAUUGCACAAUGGGGGAAACCCUGAUGCAGCGACGCCGCGUGAGUGAAGAAGUAUUUCGGUAUGUAAAGCUCUAUCAGCAGGGAAGAAAAUGACGGUACCUGACUAAGAAGCACCGGCUACUCACGUGCUAGCAGCAGCGGUAAUAAGUAGGGGGCAAGCGUUAUCCGGAUUUAUUGGGUGUAAAGGGAGCGUAGGCGGCCAGACAAGUCAGAAGUGAAAGCCCAGGGCUCAACCCUGGGACUGCUUUUGAAACUGCAGUGCUGGAGUGCAGGAGAGGUAAGCGGAAUUCCUAGUGUAGCGGUGAAAUGCGUAGAUAUUAGGAGGAACACCAGUGGCGAAGGCGGUUUGCUGGACUGUAACUGACGUUGAGGCGCGAAAGCGUGGGGAGCAAACAGGAUUAGAUACCCGUGUAGUC
rnacentral:rRNA from 1 species